rnacentral:rRNA from 1 species
UACGUAGGGUGCAAGCGUUAUCCGGAAUUAUUGGGUGUAAAGAGCUCGUAGGCGGUUUGUCGCGUCUGCUGUGAAAACUGGAGGCUCAACCUCCAGCCUGCAGUGGGUACGGGCAGACUAGAGUGCGGUAGGGGAGAUUGGAAUUCCUGGUGUAGCGGUGGAAUGCGCAGAUAUCAGGAGGAACACCGGUGGCGAAGGCGGGUCUCUGGGCCGUAACUGACGCUGAGGAGCGAAAGCGUGGGGAGCAAACAGG